rnacentral:miRNA from 1 species
GGCAUGGGUGGGGUAGGUAAGA